GAGUUUGAUCGUGGCUCAGAUUGAACGCUGGCGGCAGGCCUAACACAUGCAAGUCGAGCGGAUGACGGGAGCUUGCUCCUUGAUUCAGCGGCGGACGGGUGAGUAAUGCCUAGGAAUCUGCCUGGUAGUGGGGGACAACGUUUCGAAAGGAACGCUAAUACCGCAUACGUCCUACGGGAGAAAGCAGGGGACCUUCGGGCCUUGCGCUAUCAGAUGAGCCUAGGUCGGAUUAGCUAGUUGGUGGGGUAAUGGCUCACCAAGGCGACGAUCCGUAACUGGUCUGAGAGGAUGAUCAGUCACACUGGAACUGAGACACGGUCCAGACUCCUACGGGAGGCAGCAGUGGGGAAUAUUGGACAAUGGGCGAAAGCCUGAUCCAGCCAUGCCGCGUGUGAAGAAGGUCUUCGGAUUGUAAAGCACUUUAAGUUGGGAGGAAGGGCAGUAAGUUAAUACCUUGCUGUUUGACGUUACCGACAGAAUAAGCACCGGCUAACUCUGUGCCAGCAGCCGAC
rnacentral:rRNA from 1 species